AACGAACGUUGGCGGCGUGGAUGAGGCAUGCAAGUCGAACGCGAAAACUAGUUGAGUAGCGUGGCGAACGGGUGAGUAACACGUAAUCAAGCUACCCACGAGACAGGGAUAACUCCGGGAAACCGGGGCUAAUACCUGAUAGUCUCCGAGCAUCGCAUGUUGCUUGGAGUAAAUGGACGGGAUCCUUCGGGAUCGCCUGCUCGUGGAGGUGAUUGCGGCCCAUCAGCUAGUUGGUAGGGUAAUGGCCUACCAAGGCAACGACGGGUAGCCGGCCUAAGAGGGUGGUCGGUCACACUGGGACUGAGACACUGCCCAG
rnacentral:rRNA from 1 species